GAUGAAGAACGCAGCGAAAUGCGAUAAUUAAUGUGAAUUGCAGAAUUCCGUGAAUCAUCGAGUCUUUGAACGCACAUUGCGCCUCAUGGCAUUCCGUGAGGCAUGCCCAUCUCAGCAUUAGAAAAUAUUCUCAAAUUUUAGUUUUGUGCUAAAAUUUGGAUCAUGUCAAGGAAGCUAUUACUAUUAUUGUGAUCGCUCUUUGGAAAUUGAUAGGUCUUUGAGUUGCUACUCAUAGAACGUGAUGAAUCUUUCUUCGUUCUAUUGUAAUUCACUCUGGUAGUCCUAAAACUUGUAUGCCUGUGGCAUAUCUUGUAAUUUGACCUGAGAUUGGGUAGGGAUACCCGCUGAACUUAAGCAUAUCAAUAAGCGGAGGA
rnacentral:misc_RNA from 1 species